rnacentral:rRNA from 1 species
AUUGAACGCUGGCGGAAUGCUUUACACAUGCAAGUCGAACGGCAGCACGGGUGCUUGCACCUGGUGGCGAGAGGCGAACGGGUGAGUAAUACAUCGGAACGUACCCAGUUGUGGGGGAUAACUAACCGAAAGGUUAGCUAAUACCGCAUACGACCUGAGGGUGAAAGCGGGGGACCGUAAGGCCUCGCGCAAUUGGAGCGGCCGAUGUCUGAUUAGCUAGUUGGUGAGGUAAAGGCUCACCAAGGCGACGAUCAGUAGCUGGUCUGAGAGGAUGAUCAGCCACACUGGAACUGAGACACGGUCCAGACUCCUACGGGAGGCAGCAGUGGGGAAUUUUGGACAAUGGGGGAAACCCUGCUCCAGCCAUUCCGCGUGAGUGAAGAAGGCCUUCGGGUUGUAAAGCUCUUUCGGCAGGGAAGAAACGCUCUGGAAUAAUACUCUGGGGUAAUGACGGUACCUGAAGAAGAAGCACCGGCUAACUACGUGCCAGCCGCCGCCGUAA